rnacentral:rRNA from 1 species
CCUACGGGAGGCAGCAGUGGGGAAUUUUGGACAAUGGGCGCAAGCCUGAUCCAGCAAUGCCGCGUGAGUGAAGAAGGCCUUCGGGUUGUAAAGCUCUUUUGUCAGGGAAGAAACGGUGGAGGCUAAUAUCCUUUGCUAAUGACGGUACCUGAAGAAUAAGCACCGGCUAACUACGUGCCAGCAGCCGCGGUAAUACGUAGGGUGCAAGCGUUAAUCGGAAUUACUGGGCGUAAAGCGUGCGCAGGCGGUUUUGUAAGUUUGUCGUGAAAUCCCCGGGCUCAACCUGGGAAUGGCGAUGAAGACUGCAAGGCUAGAAUCUGGCAGAGGGGGGUAGAAUUCCACGUGUAGCAGUGAAAUGCGUAGAGAUGUGGAGGAACACCGAUGGCGAAGGCAGCCCCCUGGGUCAAGAUUGACGCUCAUGCACGAAAGCGUGGGGAGCAAACAGGAUUAGAUACCCUGGUAGUCCACGCCCUAAACGAUGUCUACUAGUUGUCGGGUUUUAAUUAACUUGGUAACGCAGCUAACGCGUGAAGUAGACCGCCUGGGGAGUACGGUCGCAAGAUUAAAACUUAAAGGAAUUGACG